CCUGUGAGACCUCCUCCUCCUCCUCCUCCUCCUGUGAGACCUCCUCCUCCUGUGAGACCUCCUCCUGUGAGACCUCCUCCUCCUCCUCCUUCUGUGAGACCUCCUCCUCCUCCUCCUGUGAGACCUCCUCCUCCUGGCGACUCGGACGGCUUACCCCGGACCCUGAACCCGGACCUGGACCUGGACCUGGACCUGGACUCGGACCUGGACCUGGACUCGGACCUGAACCCGGACCUGGAUCUGGACCUGAACCUGGACCUGAACCCGGACCUGGACCUGAACCUGGACCUGGACCUGGACCUGGACUCGGACCUCCUGAAGGUUAAUACCUGCCGGACGUGAAGAGGAGCCCACAGAUCCAGGGAGGAAGAGGCUCCUCCCCCUGCUGGUUGAUGGGGAGCACUCACCUGCACCUGGUCCUGCUCGGACCACAAGAGUGCCCGUGAGGUCCAGAGUGCCCGUGAGGUCCAGAGUGCCCGUGAGGUCCAGAGUGCCCGUGAGGUCCAGAGUGCCCGUGAGGUCCAGAGUGCACGUGAGAGUAUUACAUCCAUAACUUCCAGACGGAUGACAUGAAGGUUCUUCAUGAAUUAAGAGUUGAAUGUUUUAUUUUAAGUCUUCUUUGUUCUCAUGCUAACAUGCUAAUGUGCAAAUAAAUAAACAAAUAAAAGUC